UUGAAAGGGAAACGAUUGAAGUCAGUCGUACCUGUGGGUAAUCAGCCUUUUGGGUGUGAUUUUGGGAGUGUGAGGAGUUAAACGCCUUCAUGCCUGCAUAUUCGUGCACUUUGGGUGUAUUUACCCGUGUGGUAAGUUAACAUCAAUUUCGGUGGUCACAAAAUGGCUGGAGGAAUGUAGCUUCGAUCUUGUAUUGAAGUGUUAUAGCCUUCGGUAGAUGUGAUGAUCGGGAUUGAGGAUUGCAACGGAUACCCUUCGGGGCUACCUGUCUGAUCUCUGAUCGUUGCUCUGGUGCCGAAAGCUUGCUUACGGUUAUCAAAGUCGAUGGUCAAUAGGUUAGAACGGGUUAAAUUCGUUAAGGAUGUUGACGUA
rnacentral:rRNA from 1 species